CAUCGGAGAAAGCGGAGGCCUAAAGAUCAGCCUCGGCGAUUCUAUUGGAUGAUGGGACUUCUGUACAAAAGCGCUGUGCUGCCAUUGGUCCAAGGGCGGGACUAAGACUCACGCCGCGCCUGCCAAUUGGUCAAAGGCGGGACUAGAGUCACAGCGGUGCCGCGCUGCUAUUGGUCAGGGGGCGGGACUAAGGGUCACACCGCGCUGCUACUGGCCCAAGGGGCGGACUAAGGGUCACACUGGCACGGCGCUGGCCAUUGGUCAGAGAUUGGAGGGGGCGUGUCUAACCGCCUCACCCCUGUCCCGGCCGCCAUCUGGCCGUCCGCCCCGGCGCCAUUUUGAGACGCGGUUGAAAGGAAACCCCGAGGACCCAAAUGGGGCGACUUCGUCAGUGCCUGCAAGAGCGGGGAGUACGGAGCGCUCAGCGGCUGCGCCGUCAUCGAGGGGGAGUUCAUGCAGGUGACCCGUAGCGGUGACCCCGUGUCGUUCGUUGCUGUCGGUGCCGCGUCCCGGAACCAAGAUGGCGGCCGACCGGAACUGCUGCUGCUGGCGGCCAACGGCAGGGGGCGCCCUAACGGCAGAGUGCGGCUCAUCGCGUCAGUACCAUAGAGAUACAUUGAGAUACAUGGGGAACCCAUAGAGACCCAUAGAGACCCAUAGAGAUACAUAGGGAUACAUAGGGACCUAUAGGGACCCAUAGGGACCCAUAGAGACCCAUAGAGACCCAUAGGGACCCAUAGAGACCCAUAGGGACACAUAGGGACCCAUAGAGACCCCAUAGAGACCCAUAGAGAUACAUAGGGAUACAUAGGGACCCAUAGAGACCCAUAGGGACCCAUAGGAACCCAUCGGGACCCAUAGGGACCCAUAAGGACCCAUAGAGACACAUAGAGACCCAUAGGGACCCAUAGAGACACAUAGAGACCCCAUAGGGACACAUAGAGACCCAUAGAGACCCAUAGGGACUCAUAGGGACCCAUAGAGACACAUAGAGACCCAUAGGGACCCCAUAGAGACCAAUAGGGACCCCAGAGAGACCCCAUAGGGACCCAUAGAGACCCAUAAAGAAACAUAGGGACAUAUAAUUGCCCCAUAGGGACCCAUAGAGACCCAUAGAGACCCUAUAGGGACACACAGACACCCAUAGGGACCCACAGGGACACAUAGAGACCCAUAGGGACACAUAGAGACCCAUAGAGACCCCAUAGGGAUCCAUAGGGACACAUAGGGACCCAUAGAGACCAAUAGAGACCCAUAGGGACCUAUAGAGACCCCAUAGAGACCCAUAGGGACCCAUAGGGACCCAUAGGGACCCAUAGGGAUACAUAGGGACCCCAUAGGGACCCAUGGAGACCCAUAGACCCCAUAGAGACCCCAUAGGGCCCCGACCUGCUGCUGCUGGCGGCCAACGGCAGGGGGCGCCCUAACGGCAGAGUGCGGCUCAUCGCGUCAGUACCAUAGAG
rnacentral:lncRNA from 1 species